AGGACGAACGCUGGCGGCGUGCCUAACACAUGCAAGUCGAGCGAGGAGAUCCUUCGGGAUGAUCCUAGCGGCGGACGGGUGAGUAACACGUGGGCAACCUGCCUCAUAGAGAGGAAUAGCCUUCCGAAAGGGAGAUUAAUACCUCAUAACAUUGCAGUUUCGCAUGAAACAGCAAUUAAAGGAGCAAUCCGCUAUGAGAUGGGCCCGCGGCGCAUUAGCUAGUUGGUGAGGUAACGGCUCACCAAGGCGACGAUGCGUAGCCGACCUAAGAGGGUGAUCGGCCACAUUGGGACUGAGACACGGCCCAGACUCCUACGGGAGGCAGCAGUGGGGAAUAUUGCACAAUGGGGGAAACCCUGAUGCCAGCAACGCCGCGUGAGUGAUGACGGCCUUCGGGUUGUAAAGCUCUGUCUUCAGGGACGAUAAUGACGGUACCUGAGGAGGAAGCCACGGCUAACUACGUGCCAGCCGCCGC
rnacentral:rRNA from 1 species